GACGAACGCUGGCGGCGUGCUUAACACAUGCAAGUCGAACGGUAAGGCCCUUCGGGGUACACGAGUGGCGAACGGGUGAGUAACACGUGGGUGAUCUGCCCUGCACUUCGGGAUAAGCCUGGGAAACUGGGUCUAAUACCGGAUAGGACCACUGCCUGCAUGGGUGGUGGUGGAAAGCUUUUGCGGUGUGGGAUGGGCCCGCGGCCUAUCAGAUUGUAGGUGGGGUGAUGGCCUACCAAGGCGACGACGGGUAGCCGGCCUGAGAGGGUGACCGGCCACACUGGGACUGAGAUACGGCCCAGACUCCUACGGGAGGCAGCAGUGGGGAAUAUUGCACAAUGGGCGCAAGCCUGAUGCAGCGACGCCGCGUGAGGGAUGACGGCCUUCGGGUUGUAAACCUCUUUCGGCACCGACGAAGCGCAAGUGACGGUAGGUGCAGAAGAAGGACCGGCCAACUACGUGCCAGCCGCCGCCGUAA
rnacentral:rRNA from 1 species